CCCAUAAAAUGACGUAAUAAUGUUCACCCCAUAAUUGCCGAUUUAAGUUUGAAACUGUAAAGUUUCAACAAGUUUUUAAUCAAUUAAAGUCGCUAAAAAAGAAGAAAUCUACUGGUCUGGAUAAUAUCCCAGCUUACGUACUGAAGGACUGUGCUAGCGUUAUUACUGAACCUCUAACCCACAUUAUAAAUAGCUCCUUGAUUACUGGUGUUUUUCCU